UAGGGAAUCUUCGGCAAUGGACGAAAGUCUGACCGAGCAACGCCGCGUGAGUGAAGAAGGUUUUCGGAUCGUAAAACUCUGUUGUUAGAGAAGAACAAGGACGUUAGUAACUGAACGUCCCCUGACGGUAUCUAACCAGAAAGCCACGGCUAACUACGUGCCAGCAGCCGCGGUAAGACGUAGGUGGCAAGCGUCGUCCGGAUUUAUUGGGCGUAAAGCGAGCGCAGGCGGUUUCUUAAGUCUGAUGUGAAAGCCCCCGGCUCAACCGGGGAGGGUCAUUGGAAACUGGGAGACUUGAGUGCAGAAGAGGAGAGUGGAAUUCCAUGUGUAGCGGUGAAAUGCGUAGAUAUAUGGAGGAACACCAGUGGCGAAGGCGGCUCUCUGGUCUGUAACUGACGCUGAGGCUCGAAAGCGUGGGGAGCAAACAGG
rnacentral:rRNA from 1 species